rnacentral:rRNA from 1 species
GAAGGGGGCUAGCGUUGCUCGGAAUCACUGGGCGUAAAGGGUGCGUAGGCGGGGUUUUAAGUCAGGGGUGAAAUCCUGGAGCUCAACUCCAGAACUGCCUUUGAUACUGAGGAUCUUGAGUUCGGGAGAGGUGAGUGGAGCUGCGAGUGUAGAGGUGAAAUGCGUAGAUAUCUGGAGGAACACCGGUGGCGAAGGCGGCAUCCUGGACCGGCAUUGACGCUGAGGCGCGAAAGCCAGGGGAGCAAACGGG